AUGCACGCUGGCGGCGUGCCUAAUACAUGCAAGUCGAGCGAACGGACGAGAAGCUUGCUUCUCUGAUGUUAGCGGCGGACGGGUGAGUAACACGUGGAUAACCUACCUAUAAGACUGGGAUAACUUCGGGAAACCGGAGCUAAUACCGGAUAAUAUUUUGAACCGCAUGGUUCAAAAGUGAAAGACGGUCUUGCUGUCACUUAUAGAUGGAUCCGCGCUGCAUUAGCUAGUUGGUAAGGUAACGGCUUACCAAGGCAACGAUGCAUAGCCGACCUGAGAGGGUAAUCGGCCACGCUGGAACUGAGACACGAUCCAGACUCAUACGGGAGGCAGCAGUAGGGAAUCUUCCGCAAUGGGCGAAAGCCUGACGGAGCAACGCCGCGUGAGUGAUGAAGGUCUUCGGAUCGUAAAACUCUGUUAUUAGGGAAGAAGAUAUGUGUAAGUAACUGUGAACAUCUUGACGGUACCUAAUCAGAAAGCCACGGCUAACUACGU
rnacentral:rRNA from 1 species